rnacentral:tRNA from 1 species
GGGCGAGUAGCUCAGUCUGGUUUAGCAGCAGCCGGCUUUUACCGUUUCUAAGGAAGAUACCGGCAGGUCGUGGGUUCAAAUCCCUCCUCGCCCA